AUGGCGGAGGAGGGAGGCAUGUGAGAAAGAGGCAGUUGGCUUUGCCCAUCUCUAUCGUGUCCUGAGGAACACUGGGACAGGAAAUGCCCAGCGUUUCUCUACUGUUUACUGGACGCCAGACCCACAGAUUUGGAAGGCUGCCUUGGGAGUCAUGAAAAGAUGAAGGGAGAAGGAGGAGGAGCAUUGGUUUUCUGCCUCUUGUGGGACUGCCCUGAGAGUAGAAGGGGGAUCUGCCUAUGCUUGCCUGUGUAAUGGUGAAGGAAUGAAGUACAGAACCAGAUUCCAGCUGCCCUGGUUCCUGUCACAGUCAUUUGCUAACUGAUCCCUUCUGUCUCUCUGAAUGUCUGGUAGGAGGAUCUUGGAGAUUCAAGAUGGAGUUCUGCAGAAUGGGAUGAGGGUGGGGAAGCCCCAACUGAGAGAACAAAAGACAUCAAGUUGAAAGGAUGAAACCCUCUUCCUGUGAUUUACAAGAAGAGAAACAAGGCCACAAAAAGUCCUAGUUUUUAUACCUUAGCACGUGGGCAGCCACAAAAAGCCUGGGGCCUUUACAUCAGUCUUGCCCCAAAACUUCCAUGGAAGGUUUCAGGUCAUCAAAUUUAAAAGUUUCCAGGGUGCCUCUGUUGAAAAGCGUCAGAGAAGAGCUAGCAUGGAUUUCAUGUGGUGCAUUGUACACAGCCCAAUGAUGCCCUUCAGUGACAGGAGAGGAUGAGUCACCACCAGCUUUGGGGAUUGAGAAGAAAUGUCAAUGAAGCCAUGAAUAAUAGGUGCUGUACUGACACCUAAGAAGGUUAAGGGCAGGAAUUAGUUGGCAGGGAAGAAAACAGUGUGUGGGGGAAGUUACAGAGCUUCUGCAGCUCACUGCCAUCUGAUUGGAGAGCCAAGAAAAAAGGAAAUUUCUUUCAUUUUAAAGGAAAAAUAUGGGUGUGUUGGAGAGAGGGGUCCUUCUUCAAGGUCAGAGAGGUGGACUUGAUGUCUCCUAGAAUUCCAUUCACCUUGGCUGAGAGGGCUGGCAGUUAGAAAACAAUGAAU